GGGGAUGCAGCUCAGUGGUACAGCCUUGGCUAGCAAGCACGAGUCCUGGGUUCCAUCCCCAGUACCACA
rnacentral:tRNA from 1 species